AUGGCCGCGCGGGCCCUCCUCCUCCGGACAACCGCCCGCUGCUGCUCCCCUCUCCACUCCCCAUCCGCCGCCCCGCGCCUGCACCCGCGGCUCCGCAGCCACGCCGCCGCUCCCCAGCUCCGCUUCCCCGCGCUCUCCUUCUCCGCCUCCGCCGCGUCCACCAGCUCGCACGGCCCCGGCGGCGGUGACGCCGGCGAGGGGGAGGAUGACAAGGGAGCGUACGAGAACUACCUGGGGAUGAGCGACGACGAGCUCAUGGCGCAGUGCGACAUGGGCACCUUCAAGUCCUCCGGCCCCGGCGGCCAGCACCGCAACAAGCGCGAGUCCGCCGUGCGCCUCCGGCACCAUCCCACCGGCAUCGUCGCCCAGGCUGUGGAGGAUAGGUCACAACAUAAGAAUCGAUCAUCUGCUUUGUCUCGGCUUCGGACCCUGAUUGCUCUUAAAGUUAGGAGGCCGAUAAACCUUGAUAACUACACUCCUCCAGUUGAACUUCUUCAGAUAUUGCCACUGAAGUCUACCAUUCGAUCAAAGGAUGUUGGUAGCCAAAUUGGCCCAAAUAACCCAAAAUUUUCUCAAGGAAUGCAAGCUUUAUUAGAUCUUCUAUUUGCUGUUGAAGGUUCUGUAUCAGAGGCAGCGAAAAUUCUAGGCCUAAGCACUGGUGCCUUGUCAAGGUUAAUUCUAUCAGAUGAUUCUCUCCGAGCGGCUGCAAAUGAACUGCGGGCCUCCAAGGGACUGAAGCCACUAAGAUGA
rnacentral:rRNA from 1 species